GUUGCUUUGCAAUAGGCUUGGAAAACGGAAGUUGCCUGGGUGACAGUGGGUGAAGCUAUAAGCGGAAGAGGAGGAGUUGUUUCUGCAACUGGUGCUGGGAAGAAGCAGGAAAUGGGCAGACAGCCACACGGCGCUGAAGAAGAACAAGCCAUCUCUACAGGGUGCAGGCAGCAUGGCUGAUUCAUCUGCUUGUGGAUUCGAGCUGGUUGCUCUUAGCAGGGCGACAAAUGACUCUCUUGUGAUGUGAAUGCUGGGAACUCUCUCCAUCUAGGUGCAGGUUGUAAAUAUGUGUAAUUAAACCGUAUUUCAUAUAAACACGGCAGUCUCUGCUGUGCCUAAUUCUCCAGAAGGAAAUACAAUUCUGGGUCAGUGCCCAGAACCCCCUGGAAUCUUCUUACUGCUUGGCAGAGAUUGGGAGUUGCAUGUAGCAGUAUUAAAAUAUUGCAAUCUAAAUGCUAAACUUACUGCUUAUGUUCUUUUCAGCUAUAGGUUAUCAGCAAAAGAUUUGUUUUUAAACACUGGUAGUUUGCACAUAUAUUGGCCACAACACGGCUGGAUUGAAUUAUGACGGGAAUGCUGCAUGAACACCUUUUUGUAAACUGAGGUCAGUCAAUCAGUUUAUUAUUAUGGUCAUAGACCAGCAGUUGUUUGAGGUCUUGUAUUAUAAUCAAGCGGUAUAUAAAUCUUGUAAAAUAAAGAUUUUAUUGUGUAGACACAAAGUCCUCUCCCCUAGCAUGGAAGACGAAGAGCAGACUCCAUUUGAGGAUCUCUCCCUCAUUACAGUCGAUCAGGUAUAUGAAGACGAGCAGCAAAGUCAGUCCUCAGGGAAUGUGCAGGCGACCUUGGAGCGGACAGCUCACGGAAGAACCCCGACCAAACCUAAGAGGAGGCGUGUAGUGGUGAUAGGGGAUUCCCUACUGAGGGGAACAGAAGCAGUGAUCUGUGGGCCUGACAAGAUGUCUCGGGAAGUGUGCUGUCUCCCGGGCUAAGAUCCAAGAUGUAACUGAACGACUGCAAGGAAUCAUAAAACCCACUGACAAAUACCCUUCCUCUUGGUUCAUGUGGGAACCAAUGACACUGCAAGCAAUAGCCUCCAGAAGAUCAAAAGAGACUACGAGGCUCUGGGCAGGAAAUUGAAGCAAUUAAAUGCACAAAUUGUGAUCUCAUCUGUCCUCCCAGUUGAACGACGUGGCCCAGGGAGAGAGGGGAAAAUAGUGGAAGUGAACAGCUGGCUUCGCAAAUGGUGUAAACAGGAACGGUUUGGAUUCUUAGAUCACGGACUGCAGUUUCUUGAAGAUGGACUUCUGGCAAGCGAUGGGCUGCACCUCACAACGGUUGGGAGAAAUGUUUUUGCCAAAAAUCUCAGAAACCUCAUCAGGAGGGCUUUAAACUGACUAAUGUGGGGAGGGAGACAGUGCUCCUGAAGGUAGGAGUCUAUCAAUUGAUGAAGAUGAUCAUCCAAAUGUCAUAGACCAAAUGGAGCAAACAGCACACAGACCUAGUGGUGGGAGGAAAAAUCCUUAAAUAAGAGUCACAGGGGAAUGAUUAAUGGACUUCAAUGUCUGUACACUAAUGCGCAAAGCAUGGGAAAUAAACAAGAUGAGCUUGAGCUCUUGGUACAGCAAACUAAAUAUGACAUAAUAGGCAUCACUGAAACCUGGUGGGAUAAGUCCCACGAUUGGAAUGUAAUAAUGGGGGGGAUACAAUCUAUUUCAGAAAAACAGACCAGACAAGAAAGGAGGAGGAGUGGCGUUAUAUGUCAGGGAUGUGUAUACCUGUGAAGAGAUCCAAGAUUUAGAACCUCAAAGCCAAAGUGAGAGCAUUUGGGUCAAAAUUAAGGGAGAGAAGAACAACAGUGACCUCAUUGUGGGAGUUUACUAUAGAUCCCCAAGCCAAACGGAGGACAUAGAUGAUGCCUUCCUGGAACAGAUGGCCAAGCAUGCAAAAGGAAGGAGAUAGUAGUAAUGGGGGACUUCAAUUACCCGGAUAUUUGUUGGAUGUCAAACUCAGCCAAGAGCAUAAGGUCAAACAGGUUCCUCACUGGCCUUGCAGACAACUUCAUUGUCCAGAAAGUGGGAGAAGCAACAAGAGGAACAGCCAUUUUAGAUCUGGUCCUAACCAAUGUUGAUGACCUGGUUAGUGGGGUAGAAGUGGAAGGAUCAUUAGGCGCGAGUGAUCAUGCUCUUCUGAAGUUUACUAUACAGCGGAAAGGAGCAGCCAAGCAUACUAGGACUCAAUUUCUUGACUUUAAGAAAGCUGACUUCAUAAAACUUAGGGAAGUGCUGGGUGAGAUCCCAUGGACAGUAAUACUAAAAGGAAAGGGAGUUCAUGAUGGCUGGGAGUUUGUUAAGAGGGAGAUACUAAAAGCACAACGUCAGGCAAUACCAAUGAGACAGAAACAUGGAAGGUGCCUAAAGAAGCCAGGGUGGCUAUCUAAAGAACUUUUAACUGAGUUAAGAUUAAAAAGGAUGUGUACAAAAAUGGAAAAGGGGGAAACCACCAAAGAGGAAUUCAAACAAAUAGCCAGCACGUGUAGACACAAAGUCAGAAAAGCUAAAGCACAGAAUGAACUCAGGCUUGCUAGAGAGGUUAAAAGCAACAAAAAGGCUUUUAUGGGUAUGUCCGUAGCAAAAGGAAGAACAAAGAAACAGUGGGGUCACUCAGAGGAGAAGAUGGUGAAAUGCAAACAGGGGACACAGAAAGAGCUGAACUCCUCAAUGCCUUCUUUGCCUCAGUCUUCUCCGAUAAAGAAAACAAUGCCCGACCUGAAGAAUUUGGAGCAAAUGAUUCAGCAAAGGAAACACAGCCCAGAAUAACUAAGGAGAUAGUACAAGAAUACUUGGCUAGUUUAGAUGUAUUCAAGUCUCCAGGGCCAGAUGAACUGCAUCCAAGAGUAUUAAAAGAACUGGCAGAUGUGAUCUCAGAACCACUGGCAGUCAUCUUUGAGAAUUCCUGGAGAACAGGCGAAGUCCCGGCAGACUGGAGGAGGGCAAAUGUUGUCCCUAUUUUCAAAAAGGGGAAAAGAGAGGACCCAAAUAAUUACCGCCCAGUCAGUCUGACAUCAAUACCAGGGAAGAUUCUGGAGCAGAUCAUUAAGCAAACAGUAUGUGAGCACCUAGAAAGGAAUGCUGUGAUCACCAAUAGUCAGCAUGGAUUUCUGAAAAUAAGUCAAGUCAGACUAACCUGAUCUCGUAUUUUGACAGAAUUACAAUCCUGGUAUAUGAAGGGAAUGCAGUGGAUGUAGCAGUCCAUCUCCCCGUCCCCUUCCGAGUCCGGGAAUCCUUCCAACUCCUCCUCCUCAUCAGUGGUCCCAAGUAUUCCCUCCGGAACCUCUCCACAGGCUGAGGUUUCCUUGGGAACCUUUGAUGGAACGUUUCUAUCAAUACCUCGUCAUUGAUAUCUUCGGCCAUUACCCAAGUGUUUUCUGACUUCGGUUCUCCUUCCCACGCUACCAAAUACUCCACCUGAUCCCCCUUCCACCUGGCGUCGAGGAUUUCUGCCACAUGGCUGCUGCAUUCUCUUUCUUCUAUGACCGGUCCCCGAGUGGCCAUCCCUUCUCGUCCCCUUCGUACGGUGACAGUAACGACCUGUGAAAUACUGGGUGCAGUUUCAUGUGGUUGGGUAACCGGAGCCUGAAAGCCACUGGGUUGACCUGUUGAAUGACCUCAAAGGGACCCAACCUCCUGGGUCUUAAUUUCUUACAACCUCCUUUGAACGGCAACCCUUGGGUUGACAGCCACACCCUAUCUCCCACCCUUAUGGUUUCACCUUCCCUUCGGUUCUUGUCUGCCUGCCUCUUGUAUUCUUCCUUCGCCCUUUCUAAGUUGAGUUGGAGCUGACGAUGGAUUGCUUCCAUUUCUUCCACAAAAUGCUCGGCUGCCGGGACGCUCCAUCCCUCCCCAUCUCCCCCUGGGAAAGCCCUGGGAUGACACCCAUAAUUAGCCAAGAAGGGGCUCAUCCCUGUGGACACAUUCUCGGCAUUGUUGUAGGCAAAUUCCGCCAGCGCCAACUUUUCUACCCAGUCAUUCUCUCUGUCAUUGACAUAACACCUCAGGUAUUGCUGGAGGACACCGCUUGCUCUUUCCGCCUGCCCGUUGGUUUCCAGGGUGCCGGGCAGUCGAAAAAUUGACCUCCACCUGCAGUAAGCUCAUGAGCUUCCUCCAGAACCUGGAAGUAAAUUGUUUUCCUCGGUCUGAGACCACCUCAAUGGCACCCCGUGCAACCUAAAAAUGUGUUCUACAAAUAACUUCGCUGUCCUACCUUUAUUUCAGCAAGGCAUUUGACAAGGUGCCUCAUGAUAUUCUUGUAAAGAAGCUGGUAAAAUGCGGUCUUGACUAUGCUACCACUCAGUGGAUUUGUAACUGGCUGACUGACCGAACCCAAAGGGUGCUCAUCAAUGGUUCCUCUUCAUCCUGGAGAAGAGUGACUAGUGGGGUGCCACAGGGUUCUGUCUUGGGCCCGGUCUUAUUCAACAUCUUUAUCAACGACUUGGAUGAUGGACUCAAGGGCAUCCUGAUCAAAUUUGCAGAUGACACCAAAUUGGGAGGGGUGGCUAACACCCCAGAGGACAGGAUCACACUUCAAAACGACCUUGACAGAUUAGAGAACUGGGCCAAAACAAACAAGAUGAAUUUUAACAGGGAGAAAUGUAAAGUAUUGCACUUGGGCAAAAAAAUGAGAGGCACAAAUACAAGAUGGGGGACACCUGGCUUGAGAGCAGUACAUGUGAAAAGGAUCUAGGAGUCUUGGUUGACCACAAACUUGACAUGAGCCAACAGUGUGACGCAGCAGCUAAAAAAGCCAAUGCAAUUCUGGGCUGCAUCAAUAGCAGUAUAGCAUCUAGAUCAAGGGAAGUAAUAGUGCCACUGUAUUCUGCUCUGGUCAGACCUCACCUGGAGUACUGUGUCCAGUUCUGGGCACCACAGUUCAAGGAGGACACUGACAAACUGGAACGUGUCCAGAGGAGGGCAACCAAAAUGGUCAAAGGCCUGGAAACGAUGCCUUAUGAGGAACGGCUAAGGGAGCUGGGCAUGUUUAGCCUGGAGAAGAGGAGGUUAAGGGGUGAUAUGAUAGCCAUGUUCAAAUAUAUAAAAGGAUGUCACAUAGAGGAGGGAGAAAGGUUGUUUUCUGCUGCUCCAGAGAAGCGGACACGGAGCAAUGGAUCCAAACUACAAGAAAGAAGAUUCCACCUAAACAUUAGGAAGAACUUCCUGACAGUAAGAGCUGUUCGACAGUGGAAUUUGCUGCCAAGGAGUGUGGUGGAGUCUCCUUCUUUGGAGGUCUUUAAGCAGAGGCUUGACAACCAUAUGUCAGGAGUGCUCUGAUGGUGUUUCCUGCUUGGCAGGGGGUUGGACUCGAUGGCCCUUGUGGUCUCUUCCAACUCUAUGAUUCUAUGAUUCUAUGAAAUAAAAUGAGGAAUCCAAGCAUCAAAGCUGUUACCUUGAGUUCUUCAUAGCCUCAGGCAAAUGAAUGUGAAGGUCUCCUUUAUGAAUGAGUGAAAGAUAAUCAAAACAUAGUGUGAGAUACAUUUUUUUCUAUGUCGUUCUUGAGGGGGUUCUUUUUGGGUUUUUUGAAGGAAAAUAAUAGCAACCAGGCUUCAUAAGGACUGAUUCAAAGAAUGAUUCCUUGUAUCUAUGUUCCACCUUGGUUAAAGAUAAUGAAAUAAAAGUAAAAAAUAUGGAGAAGGGCAAGUGAAGAGACAGGGAAGGAAAUUCCCCUUUUGGGCAAGAAGAGAUGUGGGGCUAGAAUGCAGUGUGUGGUUGAGGGGAUAGUCUUAGGACAGGAGUGGGGAACUUCAGGCCCAGGAGCCAAAUGUGACCCUCUCUAGGUCUCUUUAUCUGGCCCUACAGAACCAUCCACUAACAGUGCCUCAGUCUUAUCUAGAUUGAGCUUCAGUUUGUUGGCUCUCAUUCAGCCCAUUACCAAGGCAAGACAAGGGUCCAGCACAUCCACUGCCACACCUGCAGAUGUAAAGGAGAAGUAGAGCUAUGUGUCAUCAGCAUCUUUUCCAAAUCCAGGGAGGGCUUCUUAAGGAGUGGUUUUACCACUGCCUUCUUCAAGCAAGCAGGGACCACGCCCUCUCACAAGGAAGCAUUAAUCACCUCCCCGGCCCAGCCAGCUGUCCCCUCCCUGCUAGUUUUUAUAAGCCAAGAGGGACAGGAGUCCAGAACAAAAGUGGUUACCAGGACUGAUCCAAGCACCUUGUCCACAUCUUCAAGUCUGAACAACCAAAACUCAACCAACACAGCAGGACUAGACAGUGCUCUGGACACUCAUUGAGAUUCAUCCGCUGAAUCAACACCUGCGGAGUCAACAUCCCAGUGGAUGCUAGCAAUCUUAUCCUCAAAAUGCUGCACAGACAAAUGACAGUGAGCUAUUGUCGGUUCUGCCACCUCCUUCAGUACAGACUACAAAAGGCCCCACACUAUCUAGAAAAGCUCUUCCGAACAGCACAAUGAGGAUGCAGUGGAGGGAGCAAAGUAUGCCUUGAUUGAAAGCAGCAUGUUGAAGAUGAGGAAAAACUACAUUUUUGUGCUACAAACAUGUUAGUGCUUACACAAUCUAUGCCACCCUUUGCUCUUCACAGCCACUGUCCCAGAUCUAUUUCACACUCCAUUUCAUGCAAACUGGGAGAGAGAGACCCCCUUGGCCAGCAGCAGAACAAGUGAGC